rnacentral:misc_RNA from 1 species
AUCAACCAUCAAGCCUGGCUUGUUGUUGGACUUUACUGCUGAAAUAUGUGGCAGGUCCGAAAAAUAAUGACGGUGUCGUGUUUGACCCUAAAUGCAACGAGCUUUUUAUAAGCACGCAUUGAAGUGGUUAACCGGCCUAGUCUUUACCAUCAUUUUCUAAGGUUGACCUCGGAUCAGGUAGGAAUACCCGCUGAACUUAA